UUGAACUAUGCCUGUGAGUGAAUAUCUAAAAAAAUUUAAAUGGACGUGGGUUCAAUUCCCAUCAGCUCCA
rnacentral:tmRNA from 17 species